UUUGGAUAAGAGAGCUCACCAUGGCCUGGACUCUGGUUUUUCUGGCCCUUCUCAGUUACUGCUCAGGUAAGGAUGGGGAGGAAUAACAUCUCUUUUGCCGUGGAGCCAACAGCACAAUAAACUAUAAUAUAUAUUCAUUUAUUAUGUUUAUUUAUUAUGGAAACUUAAAGCUCCAGUUAUAUAUAUUUGAGAAGACAGAGGAUGGAGAGUCAUGCUAUUCUUUUUCUUUUUCAAAAGGUGCCAAUUCAGAGCCAACAGUGACUCAGACAGGCUCCCAGUCUGUGUCCCUGGGCCAAACUGUGAAACUCUCCUGCUCUGGAAGUAGUGGUGGUAGCUGGGACUACUUUCACUGGUAUCAACAGAAACCUGGACAGGCUCCUCGCUUUGUGUGGUCUGGCUCCAGCACCAGGGGAGAAGGGAUCCCAGAUCGGUUCACUGGCUCUGAAUCUGGGAACACUGGCUAUUUAACCAUCUCCAACACCCAGCCUGAAGAUGAGGCCGUUUAUUACUGUGGUGCCUGGGAGGAUGACAGCAACAUGUUU